GGCAAUGCUGGGUAGCCACGCCCUAUGUGGAUAAGAGCUGAAAGCAUCUAAGCUCGAAGCCACCCCAAAGACGAGGCAUAUGAGACAGGCGGUAAAAGACC
rnacentral:rRNA from 2 species